GUGCAGUCCCCGCUCAUUGCGUUCUGUACAUCGCAAACCAGGCAUCUACAGUCACAGACAACGCAUGGUCGACGAGGGCGCACAUAAAAAAGUAAACAAUCGGUGUGUUUGUCACCAGAAUAUUUAACGUGAUCCAGACAGAAGAGCAUCAGAUACCGAGAAAGCUUCCCCUGGUACCUUUUCUGUACUAUAUGGAUAUACGCCACAGGUUUCAAAUCCAGAAUGGGUAUUAGAUUGAGUCGCAGAUUUCUGCCAAGCCUCCUUCAGCAAUGGUGCACACUGUGGUCUUAACAUUCUGCGACCUGUGUGAAAUCGUGACGAAACGCGCAUUUCUUUGAAGAAAAUGUGUUCCAGGAGCUUAAAGCUGCACCAAGGUUUUACCUCUACUAGAAUUGAAGCCAGGGACUACCACACCGCCUUUUCUUGACAUCUGUUACCAUACUGCCAAACUAGAGGAAAAAUUGGCAACUUCCCC